AUGCGAGCGUUAUCCGGAUUUAUUGGGUUUAAAGGGUGCGCAGGCGGAAUGUCAAGUCAGCGGUAAAAUCUCGGGGCUCAACCCCUUCCCGCCAUUGAAACUGGCGCUCUUGAGUGGAAGAGAAGUAUGCGGAAUGCGUGGUGUAGCGGUGAAAUGCAUAGAUAUCACGCAGAACCCCGAUUGCGAAGGCAGCAUGCCGGCUUCCUACUGACGCUGAAGCACGAAAGCGUGGGGAUCGAAC
rnacentral:rRNA from 1 species